rnacentral:rRNA from 1 species
UACGGGGGGGGCAAGCGUUGUUCGGAAUUACUGGGCGUAAAGGGCUCGUAGGCGGCCCUCUCAGUCGGAUGUGAAAUCCCCAGGCUUAACCUGGGAACGGCAUCCGAUACUGGAUGGCUUGAGUUCGGGAGAGGGAUGCGGAAUUCCAGGUGUAGCGGUGAAAUGCGUAGAUAUCUGGAGGAACACCGGUGGCGAAGGCGGCAUCCUGGACCGACACUGACGCUGAGGAGCGAAAGCCAGGGGAGCAAACGGG